GCCACGACGGCCCCACACGGAUGCCAGCAGUGGGGAGACUGAGUGAAGGCCCCCGCCUGCUGCCUGGGAAGGGCCCUGGGCUGGGGGAAGGCAAGAGCUGACCAGGAGAUUGUUCUGGGUCAGAAGCACGUGAGCCCACCAGAGCAGUGGAGGGUGCUGAGUGCCUAAAGGGCCCCCCAGUGUGUGUCAUGAAUGGAGCUCUCCAAGCCCACCCUCCCGGACCCUUGGGAGCAGUGGCCUGCCAUUUCUCGCUGGGUCUUCCCAGCUGAGCUAAGAGGGUCUCUGAAGGACGGAGCCUGUGGGGAUGGUGGAACGUGCCCUGCACGCCCAGGAAGUGAGGAUUCCUCUCCUAGCUCGGGAGCCAAAAGAGCAAGAGCCUGGCUAACCUGUUAGAAGUCACAGUAGGGAAAGAGGAGACCGGAUGUCUCGUCCUCCAGCGCGAUCUCCAGAGCUGAAGGUGGCGUGUCCGGAGCUGGUGAGGUUCCCGACGAUGGGCAAGGCUGGAGUGCGGAGAGGAUUUGAGGACAACAACUACAGAGUCCCCUUAGCAGAGCUGUGGAGUGUGACAAUGGUGUUUGUAUUCACAUAUCAAACGCCAUUAUCACACUAAAUAGCUACUGCUAGGCAACGCUCCCACCGGAUACCCACCUUGGCACCUGUCUGGUGCAGGCAAGAGAGGUUCAUCUGCUCUCGGGGCUCUGGACAUUCACAAUCACUGGGUCAAUGGCAGUAUGUCUGUGCUGGAAACAACCUGUCUAUCUGGAUCCAGCUGUCGCCUGCUGAUGUAAUGUCAUACCCUAACAGAUGGUGAACUCUUUUGUCAUUUUUUCCCAAGCCAAUAAAAUGUCAGCAGGGACCCUCAGCUCAGGGGGAGGCACGUGGGACCCUCUCACUCCAGGAAUGGGGGGAUGAAACAAGCAGCCAGGAAAGCGCUAGGUAAAGAACACUACAAGCAAUCGAGGUGAUUCGAACUGCCCACAGAGAGCUACCCCAGGAAGGUGGGUGGGUCCUCCCUGCCCCACCAGAAACAAAGGCACUUCGGUGUGGCUUCCCUGCCUUUUCAGAGAGUCUAGCGUGUGUUCGGCACGUCUACUGAUCUUCCUCGGCGACCAAGCUGAUUCCCGAAUGUGUGUGCUAGGUUCGGCUCCCUUCUGUCUCCGUGAAUCUCCAUGAGAAACUCACACCUCAGCCUGUCCCAGCAGUGGAAGCUCACGCAGUUGCUGGGGCAGUCGGAUCCCUUGGGUGGUCUGGCUUGGUGCAAAGGAGCUCUGGGAGUGAGUGCUCAGAGCAGGGCCUGGGUGAAAGCCGGAGACUCUUGCCCUGGGGUCACCUGAAACCUCACCCCACAGAUAGGCCUUCUUAAAACCAAGCAGUUGCUUAGUUCAACUGGUUUAAAAAUCAACAUCUGCUGCGAGCGUUCAGUUCCUCCAAGGACUAUGUGAGAUCCCGGGACAACAGCUCCUGGAAACAGCCCGGAACCUUGGGGGCAGCGGCUUCGUGGAGAUGGGGGAGGAGCAGCUCAGAAAGGGAGGGUGAGAACAAUGACACAACUCAGGGGCCGUCAUCAAAUUUGCUGCGUCUAUUCUCCACGAUGAGAAAUAAAAUGAUGAAGAGAUAACAAAGUCA